GCCUCGGUGGCGUAGUGGUCAAGACGCUGGUAAACAGGAGGGCCUGGGUUCGAUCCUAGCCGAGGCA
rfam:Asian citrus Psyllid, Diaphorina citri - Florida Strain, whole genome shotgun sequence.